UCUUCAUUUUGCACACUCUCUCAUCUGUCAGAGAGGCGAGAGAGUGUGUGAAAUGAAGAGA
rfam:Pristionchus pacificus strain PS312 contig2974, whole genome shotgun sequence.